ensembl:lncRNA
AUCUUUUGGACAGUUAUUUCUCUAUUGAUAGCCCUAAAGAGUGAAUGACUAUUUAACAUCUUCAAACACAUGGGGUUGGAACAACAUGAGGGUAAGUAAAUGAUUUAUUUGGAUUAUACAGAGGUCUGAUAGUAGUUUUUCAUGUUUAUUUUGUUGACUCUUUUUUUGAGCACUCAAAACGCCUGAAUACAGAAAGUUAAGAAAAAGCCUCCAGCACACACCACAAGCUUUGUGAUUGCUUAGCCGUAAGCAAGAAGAGAUUCCAACCCAACAGUCGGCAUCUCUGAUCACACAAACAGACACUUCUCUGAGCUUCUUCACAAGUCAGAGCAGUUUCUUCUCAUGAAAGGUGCAAAAACAGUGAUAGGCAUUUCAGCCUUUUAUGACGAUGAAUGAUAUCGUACUGCAUUACUUCAGACUCCACAGUGUGAUGCUAAUGAUCUCUAACCCGCUCUUAAAGCUCAGCUAAGUAGUGUAGUGCAGCUUAGUAGUGAGCUACUAAAACCUUAUCCCAUGACAAACAAAUGCUCCUCAGGGAAAGAGAUACUUUGGCAAGGGAUGAAAAACAGGAUGAACUUUGGUGGAACAUGUUCUUACAGACUCUGCACAGGCCUGAGUCAUUGAAUCUCAAAGCUUGGUUUGCUACUUGAACAUAGUCCAGAAUUACAGACGAAAGAGAUGGAGACCCACAGCAUGCCCAAGUGUCUUCAUUACAGGUUUUCUCCAGCCAAUGGUCGACUGGAACAGUAUCUACAGUCACUUCCCAAACUGGUAAGCAGUAUUUUACAAACAAUGUUGCUUGUUCCAAAUACUAGUACGAUGUUGAAUUCCAUGAUUGCUCCUCCUGGGAGCUCUCACAGACCGGAUAAAGACAACUCUGCUUGUUGAAUUUCAGACAAUGAGCAAUGGCAGAAGGUUCCAAUCAAUGAGUAUUCAAAGAAAACAUAUGCUCGCUGUUUACCAACUCGCUCGGCACCAAAGGAUCUUCAGGGAAAAUGCAUUUAAAAGUAGAAGGCAGAGGAGAAUCACUUUUGUUGCUCUUCGUAUUUCACUGUAUUGAUCACAUUCUAAUUUACCGUUACCUGAACACAGAACAGGCUUUUAAAUUACUGAGCAAAGUUACAUUUGUCAUACAUUCCCAUUACAAAAGUGAACAGAAUAGUCGAUCAGCCUUACUUAAAGUCCUUGAAGAAACUUUCCAGUGUUACGUCAAGCAGCGUUUCUAUUUGUAUGGAUCCACAAUAAAUGCCUUUUUUAAAAAUGUGUGUUGUAAUGAUGGAUAAAUUAAAUGUGCCAUUUUUUUGCAGUUGCGAGCUGUGGCGGUCUUUGGACGUUGAAGAAAAAUUUUUAAUGAAUGUGGUAUGGAUAAACUUGGUUGGUAUACACAUACAAAUUCUGAAAUAUACUUCUAGUUUCAGUGGAAUUCACCCUAAUUAAGGCUUGAACUCCUGAUGUGAUGUGAAAACAAAUGGCACCCAUAGAUGCCUGGCUAAUAAAUCUAGACAAUACCAGACAAUUUGGUUGGUGUGAGAUGAACCCCAAAAGUAAAAUUUACUUUCAGUUGUGCUGAAUGGUGAUGAGUUGGUCUGAAUAUUCAGCUGAAAUGGAGUUCUGACGUGAAAGAGAUAAGGCCCGUCAUCCAAAGUUACGCACUUGGUAUUGUUCUGCGUCUGAAGAACAAGAGAUGACUCUAUGCAUAUACAAAGAGGGGAAAAAUCCACUCGAGGGUUUGCAGCUGCUUUCCAGAAUCCAGCACUUUAACGUGUUCAUUUCCAAGCAGCUGAGAGAGAUUUGAAGUCAACAGAAAGCUUCCCCAGUGUGUAAAGCACUUAGUGAAGCAUGUGGAAACAGUAAGCUUUCAGCCUGAUGGGAGAUGUUUAAGAAGAUUAUUCAUUUAUGAAGAAAACAGGGCUGGACUUGGUUUGAGAGAUCAGCAUAAUGUAUUCUGUUUUGAACAUAUCUCGUGAUUCUUGAUAUGCAGUGGAUUAUAUUCUAAUAUAAAAUAUCUUUUUGACUUAACCAUAUAAAGACAAAUGUAUUGGCUUUUUAAGGCAUCUGACCAAUAAUUGCCUGAAAAGCCCCCUGGUGGAUCAUUUAUAUUUUUCAGGAAGUAGAAGGUCUUUUGCUUGGACAUCUUUGCUAAUUUUUAUAAAGUCACAGCAACAAUAACUUGUAUAUUGUUACUUUGUGAAUGAAUAUGAUCUUGAUAUUUCAUACAUCAUUUAUAGGAAAAUAAUUUUAAAAAUGCGUAACAAAUAAUAGGCCUACAGCAUGCACU